UAUUUCUCGGAGUUAAGGUCGUAGUAAUACUUGCCGUUUUCCAAGUAGCGCGUGUCGCUCAUUCCUUGAGGCUGGAAGGAGUUGCGGCGGCUGCUGAAGGUGGCGGCGCCCUCGCUCUGCCCCUGCGGCUGGAAGGAGUUGCGGCCGUUGCUGAAGGUGGCGGCGCCCUCGCUCUGCCCCUGCGGCUGGCUGUUGAAGCUGCUCCCGCCAUUGUAGUAGAAGUUGCCGGCGGCGUUGUCUCCGUUGUUGGCGGCGGCGGGGUAGCUUCUGAACUCGGUAUCCUCCUCUUGCUGCUGCUGGUUGUUGUUGUAGUAAUUCUGCGCGCCGCUGUAAUAAUUGUUUCUGUUGUUGUCGUUGUCGGGAUGGGUGGCGCUGAAGCUGCUUUCCUCGGGGAAGGCUGCGGUGCCUUGGUUUACGUCAGAUUCGGGCUGGGUGACGUAGGCCACCGGGUUGUAGUUCUUGGGGAGGUAUUUGUUGACGGGUUGUUUGAAUUCGGCGGCGGCGGGGGUGGUGGUGGUGGUGGCUGCGGUGGAGGGAGGGUUUUGGCCGGACUCGUGGCCGUAGAGGCCGUAGCUGUUCUCGUUUUCCGGGAGGAAAUUGGGCUCUUGCUGAUUGGUGGAAGCUUCUUUGUUGUUGGGGACAACAACGUUGUUGGUGGUGCUGGGGAUUUUGUUGAAGAACUGGCUGUCUCUUGCAUGGAUAUGCAGAGAGGAGAAGAGGGUGAGGAGGAGGAAGAGGGAGAGUUUCAUGGCGGGGGAAGCCAUUGCAGGAUGAGAGAGAGAGAGAGAGAGAGUGUAUAGUGUUGUGAACUUGGUGUGGUUUGUGUUUUUAUAGAUGGGAAGCUCUGCCUCUGCCUUUGUGAGUGUGUGAGUGAGUGAGUGAGUGUGUUAUGAACUUUUAAAAUUUCAACCGAUUUGGUGGAAAUGGGAGAGGAUUAGGUCAUUAUAGCACAAAUAAGACUUAUUUAAUUGCGUUUUGUGCGCGUAUUUAUUUCCAUAAUUUCCUCUGUAGUGAAUAUUAAUUUAUUAUUAUAUCUGCGCCUGUGAGCACUCCCCACAGUAAGUAUGGGCGCAAUCAAUAAAUUCAACUUUUAUGGAGAAAAUAUAACGUACAAUGGAUGGUAAUGUAUGAAACAAGCAUACCACAAAAGCUUCACGUUUCAUUAUUAUAAGGAUACACCACCCUGCUUAAUGUAUCAAUAGUUUACUGAUAAUGUUAAUCUACAUAUAUAACCAACUAAUUUUCCAAAAAAGAAAGAACAUCAUUCGGAAUGUCCAUAGAAUCAGGUCGUGGAAUUGUUAGAUUUUGUAAAUUAUACUCCAGAAAAUAACAAAUAAACUGGCACAUUGAUUAAUGUCAUAAUGUGAAAAGGAAAAUUACUAUCACAUGUGCAAGUAUGUUGAUCAUACAUGAGGUCAAAGGUCUCGAAUUUUAAAUUUAUUUAUUUACGUAUGUUGAUCUAAUAAUAAAAUAGUUAAUAUAUGAGAUCGUCCCGAUCUUUAAAAAUUUAUGUAUCUUUAACUAAAAAUAAAGAAAGUUAGGUUCUCGUAUUGUUAUCAAUCAGUCAUUUGGAUUUUCGUUCUAAUUUAGUAAGACCUGGUUAUCAUGGUACAUUUAAUGCGCAUUAAUAAAAUUAAUUGUAAACCAAGUAAAAAAAAAACUUAUAAACCAAAUAGCAUUUUAUUUUUAGUUAAUUUAAAAGGUAAAAUAUUAUUUUAUUCCAACAGUAUAAAAACAUUUGCAUAUUAAAUCAAGAAAACUUAUGAAAUAAUAUGGACAUUUUAUCGUAUGAAAAAAUUUAGAUGACAACAGAAUUGACGAAUGACAUUUCUAUUCGUAUAAAACUAAUUAAUGACAUGGAAAAAUGGAGUGUUUUAUGUUUAUGUAACCUUUUUAGAGGGACGAAAAAAUAAUACAAGGUCAAGGUUGUUGUUUCUUUCUCUUAUUUAAAGUGGAAAAUAACUAAAAAUUGCUCUUUAAUUAAAAUAAAUAAAUAAAAAGCAAUUUCUUUGUGAUUCACCAAGUGUACAGUCCUACUGCUGCAAUAUGAUGAGAAUUGUUCUAUUCUUCCAUGAACAAAAGGAUCAAAACCUUCCACACCCCCCCCCCCCCCCCCCCCCCCCCCCCCUCCCCCCCCAACCCACCCUCACACCAUGUAAUCUGUUUAAUCGAUGACAAGUUUCACUUGAUUAAAAACCCCUUUAGUUUUAUUUGAACAAAACUACCAUGCACGAAUCCAUUUAUGAACUAGCUCGAUCGUAUUACACUUGAACCUUAUUAUUUAUUUAAUGAGUAUAUAUCUAAGAGUAAGUGAAUUUAAUAGAUAUAUUUAAAUAGUAAAUAAAGAUUGGAAUCAAAAUUGCAGGUUUCCUAUCAAAGGCGGGAGCAGCGUUGAGCAAUAAAUGUAUUCACAUCUUUAGGUGGAUUCUGCGUAUGAUGGAUAAUUCCAUAAAUAACUCGAAAAAAAAAUAGAAAUUCCAAAAAUUCGGGAAAAGUGGGUAGAAUAGACAAUAGAGGAGAGUAGUCAUGCGUGGAUUGUGGGUGGAGUGGGUGGGACAUGAAAAAUUAUAGUCCUACACUAACCAUGUGCCUCUUCAAAUAUUAAGGGUUAUACCAAACUCUUCUUUACACUUAUGGAAUUGAUUUUGAUGGGGGGCCUCCACACUCAUUCACAAAUUGCAUGCCUAUACCAACAUUUCACAAAUAUGGGGGUCCCCACCCACACAAAUCACACAUUACAUAUGGUUUUAAAUUAAAUGAUUCACUCUAAUUACACUACAUAUAUUAGUCCUAAGUCUCAUAGCCACUACAUUUUUAGAAAACCCAAUUUUUGCUAUGCUAAAUGUUCUAUUCACUUACCAUAUGUUAUAGCAUAGUGAAUAGUGUUUUUGGGGAAAUGGAUUUGACAAGUUUAAAUUUUAUACUUCCUCCGCCUCAUAGUCACGUCUCAAUUACUAUACUCAGAUGUCCCACUAAUAAGGUUCCAUAUUUUUUUCAACAAAAAAAUUACUUAUUUAAAAUGUUGCUAAUAGUGAACCCAACACACUUUAUACACCACAGAAUUGUUUACUUCAAAGGAUUAUGCUUGAUAAAUAAAAAUAGUAAGACUAAUCUCUUUGAUAAAUAAAAAUGUUGCUUGAUUAUUUCUGUCAUUUAAACUAAUUUUACUUGAUUCAUUGGGAUUGGAGAAAUCAUACGAUAAAAAUACUCGAUAGUGCAUCUUUUGAAUCACACAAAAUAAACACCCUCAACUCACUUAAAAUAAUCCUUAAAUACCUUCUACCAACUCACUUUAUACAUUCUUUUUAAACUACACUUUUCUUAAUCUUCUUGCCAAAAAGUAACGAGACGACAUUACUAAUGAGACAAAUGAAGUAUUUUGUUUUGUUCUAAAAAAAUAAGAUUGUUCUUAUAUUAUCAAGUAGGACAAUAUUCGUAUAGUUGUAUGUUAUAUGAUGGUGCAUUUAUAUAAUUGUUAAUUAAUUCUUAAAAGUUUUGUAACUCCUAAACUUACAUCAUUUAUUAGUAUUAUGAAAAAGACUCACAUUAUUACAAUUACAAUACUCUUUAAAUUUCGACAAUCAGUUAGAUUUUUCGUUCUUAGAUAAUUCUACUCAUUCUAGAUUUAAACAUGAUAAAUUCAUUGGACAUUAUAUGUCCAAGUAAAAAAUGUAUUCCUAUUUCUUAACUUAAUAAUAUGUAUAUAUAAAUGUAUAACUUUCCCAUAAUCUUUCAUCUACUAUGUUAAUUGAUACACACCAACUCUACCAGCCCCCUCUGUCUUCCUAGACCACCGUGUACUUUUCUUUCUUCUUUGGGCUCAAGUAAUAAAUGUUUUCAACUAUGAUUUUAUCACUAUUUAUGUUUUUAAGUUAAUGACUUUUAAUUCGAUGGGUUGCCCCUUUUAUGUUUGGUUCUAUUAUGGAAACAUAAUUGGUGGGGGUGAUUUGAGAAAUUUAUAUUUCCAUUCAUUAUUUGGCUCAUAUUCAAUAUAUAUCCAACAAAUUAUUUAAAAUUUAGCGACGCAACUACUUAAUGCAUAACGCAUUAUUACCGGCUCGCUACUGCCACUUUAUGUUGUUUUCGUGCCUUGAAGAAUUGCAUGUGGCGAUAAUUAAUAAUAAUAAUUUCACAUAAUGAAAACGUCAAAAUUUCGGGUUGUUUUUUCUUCCGUUUUUAAUUAUUUGGAUGGGGUUGCAGAUUCAGCAUUAAGGGAUGCAUAAAUGAUGAUGGCAUCUUAUAUAGGUCUCUAUGAUCAACCUCACCUAUCUGUAAUUGUUUUUUGGGUAACUCUAAAAAAAAAUAUAAAAUUAUAAAUCAAAAUUAGUAAAAUAAUAAUAAUGUCUAUAGUGGGGCACCGUUUUGGUGUGGAGUUCGAAAGGGGAUGGUUAGUUAAUCAAAUUACCAAAUCACAUUUAGUUAGCAAGUGUUUGACCAAUCAGCCUUUCCAAUUUGUCAAACACCUUUACACAAUCACAUUUGCCUUUGUUUUUUUCUUGGGCUAAGCGAAAUUCUUGCGCGAUUAUCGGAAAACAUAAAUUUUCAUAGAAAUUGCAAAACGAGGCCCAUAAAUACCGUUUGGAAUGGAUGACAUGUCAGUGCCCCUUCCUUUUUCCUCGUAUUUCUGAAAUAAUAAAUCUAUCCCACAUUGUGACCACCUACACAUUAGUAUGAUAAGAAAAAUCUUAAUUUAUUUAAUUUAUUUUUAAAAAUAAAAAUAGGAGUUAGUUAUUUUACUAUAUUCUCUACAUUGUAAUUAUUUUUUUUUAUUUUUUUUACAUUUUUUAUUUUUAAUUUAUUUUAUAAUAAAAAUAAAAAGUUGCCAAAAAAUUACAAAAAAAUAAUUACAAUGUAGAGAAUAUGAUAAAAUAACUAAAUCUUAUUUUUAUUUUAAAAAAUAAGUUAAAUAAAUUAAAUUAUUUUUUAUUUAAGUAAAUUGUGGGUGGCCACAAUGUGGCUGUUUAGCAUUACUCUUUCUGAAAUUAGAUGGUUUUAAAUUGUAAGUAGUAUUGUAUAUCGUGUAAUACAUGAAAGUAAAAUAUACUAAAUUACUAAUACUCCAUUAUAAAAUGAAAAAUAAAAGUAUACUCAAUAUUUAGGUAAAUAAUUGUCUCAAGACACAAAGUAAUUGAAUAUUAGUGAGCCGAUGUUAUUACUAAUUGAAAUACUCCCUCCGUCCUGCGAAGCGUGACCCACUUUCUUUUUUGGGUUGUCCCACGAAGUUUGACCUAUUUCUAAAAAUGGCAAAAAAUUUACCCUUUAUUCACCUUUUCACUUUUUCACCUACCACACUUAACACACAAAAUACUAAUUUUUAAUUUCGUGCUGAAAAGAAAUGAGUCACGCUUCAUGGGACGGAGGGAGUAUAUACCUAUUUUAAAUAAAAGAGAGUAUGCAUAAAAAAGUGGGUAGUAAAAUGAGUCCAUCAAAUACAAAGUCUCGUAUGCAAAAGACCUUGUGUAGCUUCAAUUAGUGAAUUUUACAAUUUUAGGGUGUCAAAUUUUGAUCUUUCUUCGCAGCGUCCAUUCUCUUAUUCAAUUCAUAUUUUCAAUCACUCCUGAUCAAUCGAUUAUCAAUGCAGGGCUGACCUUAUAUCUAGGGGUGAGCAAAAACCGAACCGACCGAAAAAACCGACCAAAAAAUGGCCGAACCGAUCGGUUUUCGGUCGGUUUUUCCGGCCUGGGCGGUCGGUUCGGCCCAAAUUUUUUAGAAAUUUCGGUUUGGUCGGCCGGUUCGGUUUUCUCGAUUUUGGCCGGUCGAAAACCGAACCGACCGAACUAUUUAGUUUACUAGGGUUUUUUUUUCUCCCACUAAUUCUCCCUAACCUAAUUCCUCUCCAUUGCGCCGCACCCCACCCCACCCGCAGGCCCUCUGCCCUUCACCCCUACGGACAACCACCAGCCGAGCGCCGGCGAACCAGAACCCUAGCCCAGUCCGAGGCAGCGCCGAACAGCAGCCUGGAACUCGCAGCCGUCGCCGCGACCGCGAUUCGCGAAGAACCCCAGCCCGCAGUCGUCGUCGCCGCGCCCAGCCCGCAGCUGUCGUCGCCGCGCCCAGCCCACAGCCGUCGUCGUCCACAGCACAGGUUAGUUUCGGAGCGGUGAGCCUUCCUCUGCACCGCCGCCUCACCUCCACACCUGAGCGAGUCGCGCCGCCGCCUCACCUCCAACUGUUGCUUCUCUGAGUCGUGCCGCCGCUGCCAGUUCGGCUCGGCUCCUAUUCGGUCGGUCGAAAACCGAUUAUUUCCACGGUUCGGUGAUCGGCCGGUUGGUCUUUCGAACGUCGGUCGGCUCGGCCCAUAAAUCCUCCAAACCGUCGGCCCAUCGGUUUGCGUUUUUUUGGUCGGUCGGCCGGCCGAACCGACCGAUGCACAGCCCUACUUAUAUCUCAUAUGACCCUAAGCAUAAUUAUAAAUGAACCUUAUAUUUUUUUAUAUGAGCGACAAAGAAUAAUAUAUUAACAUAAUAUUUUUUAAUUAAUUAUUCAAGAGUUUUUCAACCUAAAGAAAAGAAUAGAGAAGGCACUAACAACAUUAAUAAAUUUGGGGCCCUAAAAACUAAUAAAUAAAAAAAUUGUGCCCCAAAAAAUUUAGAGCCCUAACUAGCAACUUGUUGAGCAUAUAGUCAGGUAGGGAUUUGCUUUGAUCGAUGCAACCCAUACUCGAUUGGAUAGCAUGAGAAGUAUAGUACUCCCUCCGUCCCAUUACAAAUGUCCCACUUUUCAUAAUAGAACGUCCCAUUCUUUUUUUGACAAUAUAUUCUAUAUCUAUACCUAAUAUUUAAACAAUUUUCACCAACUCACUUUAUAUACUGUCUAUAUAUUUCUUAAUCUUCGUGUCCAAAAGUAAUGAGACAUUUGUAAUGAGACGGAGCUAGGGAGUACGUACAUCUUAUAACCCUCUUUUUUGUUUGAAAAAAUGAAAAUCGUGAAGACUAUUGGUAUAGAGGAAUGCAAAUAAACAGUGCAACACAUGUACUAAUAUUUAAAGAAUAAUGAAAUAUAUAAUAUUAAUAAUAAAAUAAUUAGCUAAUAAAAACAUAUAUACGUAUUAUGUUAUAACAAUCGAAAAUUCUAAACACGAAUAGAUUUUUUUUUACUAAGCGUAAUAGAUAUAAUAACUUAAUAAUGGCAAUAAAUAAGACAAUAAAUGAAGGGAAAAAAGGUAAUUAUUGGAUUAUAGCAGGAAAAAAAGAAAAAGAGGGGACUUUAGUUGAUCGUUGUGCAUCCAACAGUGAAAGCUGAGCGGGAUACAGUUCAGAAGAUCUGAGCUGGCUGGAGUUAGGGAUGGCAACGGGCCGGAUCUGGACCGGGUCUGGACAAUACCAGAUCCAGAUCCGUUUUUAUAUACUAGAUCCAGAUCCGGAUCCAGAUCCGCGGAUCUGAAAAUUUUGGAUCCAGAUCCGUCAGAUCCGCGGAUCCGCGGGUCCAGAUCCAUGGAUCUUGUUUUCAAAUUAAAUUCACAAAAUUAAAAAGCAUAUUUACAAUUACAAGGGUACAAAAAAGAAAACGUCUAUUAACCCAAAACUAUCAAAUUCAAAUAACACAUGAUCUUGACUUCCACUUGUGUUACAAAAACUAUAUUCAUUAUUCAGUGAUGAGCCACUUUCAGUGAGUUCAGUGACGAUUCAACAGCUAACUAAGCAAGAAGCUGCACAGACAGAACCCCCUGACAACAAUAUGAAACAUGGCUCUGUUGACAAUUUAGUGAAUGAAGCAUGCAAUGAGACUAUUGGACCUCAACAAAGUGAUAACAAUAACUUUUAAAAAGGUUCAAUCCAGAGAACCGAGCUGUUGUUUCUCAUUUAUUCCAUCAAUGGGCAAAGAAGCCUGCGUUUCAUGAUCCCACGAGAUUACUCACAAAGGUUUCUUUUGUCAUUGAUGAACGUCUGCGUGCAAAAAAGAGUGCAAACAAGGAUGUUUUGCGUGAUUUGAAGUCCUGUUUAAAAUCUGAUGAGGCUUAUCACUAUGCUGUAUCGGUUCUGUCAUGGCUGCAAAUUCCUCCGGAUAAACAUAGCUCUGGUUCCUCACUGAUAUUUUCGCCAAGUUUAAGACAAACAUUCAUAAAUUUCAAAUAUAAAUCAAUUCAAAUCUGAAUCAAAAUUUCAGUCAUAAACAUGCUCAAAAUCAAAAUCUAACCUUUGAUUCAGAGCAUCCUGUGGUAGAGAAACUCAUGGCUGAACGACGGCGGCGCCGCGGCGGUGGAGUUUGGCGGCGAGCCGAACUGGAGUGACAGAGAGGCGGCGAGCCGAACUGGAGUCUAGCGGCGUGCUGCUGCUGUUCCUGCCUUCGCCGGCGACGGGCGGACGAAUUGUAGAAGGAGACCGGCGAUGGGAGUUCGUGCUGCUGGAGUCGGGAGUGUGCUGCACUACUGCUGUUGUUCCCUAUUUCUCCGGCGGCGGGCGGGCGAGCGAAGUGGAGAAGGCGACCGGCGAUGGAGGUGAGGCGGCGUGACUGAGGCCGAGAAGGAGAUGGCCGAUGAGAGAUGGGAGUGAGGCGGCGCAGGAGUGAGAAGUUGAAGAAUCGAGAGGGGAGAGAGAGAUGAAUUAGAAAUUAGGUUUUCAAAGUUAUUCUAUUUUUUUUAAAUAUAUCUAAUAUUAUAAAUAAAAUAAAUAUAAAAAUAAAUAUUAUAUUUUAAAUUAAAUCGGAUCCAUGGGUCGGAUCUGGGUCGGAUCUGGAUCUCAAAUGUCAAGAUCCAGAUCCAGAUCUGUUUUAGAAAAUGAGAUCCAGAUCCGGAUCCAGAUCCGCGGAUCCAAAAAAUUGAGAUCCAGAUCCGUGAAAUCGGAUCUGAAUCCACGGAUCUGGACCGGGUCCAGGAUCCAUUGCCAUCCCUAACUAGAUACUUUAUCAAACUGAAUAGUGUGGUGUGUGGAUUUGGUUAAGGUAGUCAUAGUCCAAUAUUAAUUGAUACAUGUCCAUGAGCAUGUUCAUUGCUUGUCUGUUUUCGACUAAAACACAAAGACUUGCCCCUACCUAUCAACACACCAGGUCCACACACUAUUAAACUAAUUUGGAGAAAUGUUAUUAGCUACUAGUAAAAUAUUACGAAUUUGAAUUUUGACAUAAUAUCGUUUUCUAGAUGAAGUUCUUUUUGUAUAAUUUUCAAACUAUUGUCUUUAUAGUAGGACACAUGCGUAUAUACAAUUUGUUAAAAAAAUCCCUAUUCUUGAAAGAUUUUAGCAAAAUAAAUUGGAAAAACCCAAAACUCAAGACUUGAAUCACUUGUGAUUGAUUUCUUGAGAAAAAGAUGGUGUCCAUCCUAGAAACUUUUCCACAAUGAAAGCAAGCAAUUAUGAGGCGCAGAUGUUGGUUGAAUGCCAUUGCCCCUUCUACUAAGAAAGACCAACUAUUUCUUUAGUCUUCACAAUCUUCACAUUAAUAUACAAGGCUAAUCUACUCGGAAUUUGCACAUGAUAUAGGUGGGAUGCCAUGGGAUGUGUAUAUAUAUCUACAAAUAAUUGUGCACCCUUCAAAUUUCUGUGUACGAAAACAGUCUCUGUACCAUCUUCUGCUAUUUAUGUUAAUUGAAUACUAAGUAGGAGUAUUAUAUACGGCAAAAAAGAAGAUAUCAGAAAAUUAAAUACAUAGCAAAUCUAAAAAUAGUAAAGAUUUAGAAGUCAGUUAUCAAUCUUGGAGAGAAACGGGAGCCCAAAACAAAAGCGAGAGCAAACAAGAUAUUAGGAACAAGGAUUGGAAUCAAUGGAUUAAUGUCGUUCCCCAGCCUUCUCCGUCUGAAUCUGGACCUCGCAUAUCUUCUCCUCUCCUCCUCGCCCACUCGGCGGCACCCACCCUUUGGCCACAACAGCGGCGGAGGCAAUUGAUAGGGGCAUUUGCACCGCCACGAGGUCUCCGGCAGCCCCCAUCUGCGGCCCCUUUGAUGAACUGAGAGAAGGCCCAUCUCAUGAGCGGAGGCGCCGAUGAGGCGGCGCGCCGGCAGAGGAGCGGGGGGUAGUCCCGAGUCGAGGUAGCGAGGGGAUUUGGGCGGCGAUGAAUAUCUGAGAGUGGAGCGGCGGCGCGUGAGUUGGGCUGGUUAGGAUGUGAGUCAGCGCGUGGAGUUUUUGCUCCCAACUCGUAUUGUCCAUCGUUUGUUGUUGUUGAUGUGAGAGAUAGGAUGAAACUAUUAAAUAUAAUUGCUAAAAUAUUACUGCUAUGUAUCUGCACGAUGCAAUAAAUCUAUGCAGCCACAUUUUGGUCACCCACACACUAGGUUAGGUCUCAGUCUCGUCGAUUGUCUACUAGUAUAAUUUUUUUGGUAGCACGAGCAUAUUACAAAUUUCAUUUUCUGUUUGUAAACAAUUAAAUUGUCGUCGAAUUAAAUCGUGCCACGUGUAAAUUCAUGAAUUAAAUAUUUAAUUAUAUUUUCUAUUUUAUUAAAUGGGAUUUUAUUCCUAAUUAAAUAGAUAUAUAUGAUUAAUAUUUAAUAAAAUGAAUUAAUGGGCUUAUUGGCCACUUAAGGCCCUAAGGCCCAUACAUGGAGGCCCAAAGCCCAUAAAGCCCAUGAAGCCCAUCUCUAAAAUCUAUAAAUAGAGGUGUUGGGGUGCUCAUUAUAACAACGUGAAGGAGCGGAAGAUCGAAGAGCAUAAAGAAUUCUCUCUAGUAUCACAAGUUGAAGUGGAAGAUUGAGGAGUUCAAAGAAUUCUAUCAAGUAUCAAGUAUUCAUCAAGUAUCCUUCAAAUCUUCAAGAUCUUCAAGGCAACAUUCAAGUAUCCUUCGAACAUUCAAGUAUUUGAGCAUUCAAAUCUUCAAGUAUUUGAGCGUUUAAAUCUUCAAGUAUCUUGAAGAAUUCUAUCUAGCGUUCAAGUCUUCUUCGAAUCUUCAAGUAUUUGAGCAUUCAAAUCUUCAAGUAUUCUUCAAGUAUCUUCAAGUGAUCAAACCUUCAAAUCUUCAAGUGAUCAAGGCGUUCUUACAAAUUCCAAGAACGAUCUUCUUCAAAUCAAAUCAAUCAAGUUCGAAAGCUUCAAGGCGUUCUUACAAAUUCUAAGGACGUUCUUCAAAUCAAAUCAAAUCAAGUUCGAAAGCUUCAAGGCGUUCUUACAAAAUUCUAAGGACGUUCUUCUCAAAUCAAAUCAAGUUCAACGUUCAAUCCAAAAUCACGACUUAAGUCCCUUGGAUUGGCGUCAUCAAAUCAAGUAUUUCAAUAACCUUCGAGCUUGUUCAAGAAUCAAAUGGAAGAGAAGAAUCAGAGGAUUAACUAGAGAUUGCAACCCGCAUAAAAUCUAUCUUCAAAUCUAUCAAAUUAUCUUUGUAACUCAUUUUGUAUUUUAUCAAAUUGAAAUACAAAAAUUUGUGUUUACAAAUUUUGGCACGCCCGGUGGGACAUCUCUACCUCUCAUCUCUACUCUUCACCAAAAAUCUUGAACUAUGUCUAUUCAAUCAAAUGCAGCUGCUCCAGCUUCAUCUAAAGGUUCUUCGGCAAGCGUUGGUAUGAUCACGCGAAGCAAAUCGAAAUCAUUGCAAGGAGUGUCCAAGCCGAUCUUUCAUCUUCCAUCUAUCCAUGAAGAAGAUGACAACUUUGAGAGAAGCUUCACAUUCCCCACUGAAAAUUAUCAACUCCAUGCAAGUGUCAUGAUGACAAACACUUCCACCAUGGAGGAACAACUCUUGAACUUGACAAAGAUGGUUGAAUCUCUAACCAAGCACAUCCAAGAGCAAGAUGCCCAGAUUGCAAAGCUUAAAGGAGAAAAAGGAGAUUCAAGCCACGCCAACAACGAUAGGGAAGGCGAAGAAAGCGAAGAAGAUGGUGAGAAUAACGAUGAAGAAAUCUCCAAAGACAAAUCAAAGAGUGAUGGAAAAAAGCCUUCAGGAAAAGACAUUCUCUUCUCGUCUGGUGGCCUCAUUCCCAUUGACCAACUCAAAGAGUUCAUCGAAGCAACAAUGAAGAAUAACUCCGAUGGAAGCUCCAAGUCAUCGUUAACUUACUCCAAGCCAUAUACUCGGCGAAUUGACAGUAUGAGGAUGCCUCUUGGCUAUCAACCACCAAAAUUUCAACAGUUCGAUGGCAAAGGAAUCCAAGACAACAUGUGGCUCAUUUCAUUGAAACAUGCAACAACGCUGGUACUUAUGGAGAUCAUUUGGUCAAACAGUUUAGUUCGCUCAUUGAAAGGUAUGCCUUUGAUUGGUACACCGACUUAGAAUCAAACUCAAUUGAUAGUUGGGAACAGCUGGAGCAUGAGUUCCUCAACCGCUUCUAUAGCACUAGAAGAACUGUCAGCAUGGUGGAGCUCACAAGUUCACGUCAAUUCAAAGAAGAGCCAGUCAUUGACUACAUCAACCGAUGGAGAAACCUUUGUCUCAACUGCAAGGAUCGAUUGUCUGAAUCAUCUGCCAUCGAAAUGUGUAUUCAAGGGAUGCAUUGGGGCUUGCAAUAUAUUCUGCGAGGAAUCCAGCCAAGACAUUCGAGGAACUAGCCACUAGAGCUCAUGAUAUGGAGUUGAGCAUGAUGGACAAGAGGGAUCGGAAGGACCACCAAUCCAGGAGUCUAGCAAAUUCAAAGCCAGAGUUCAAGAAAGGAGGAAAACCAUAUAGACAAAGCAACCAAAGAAGGAAUCAUGGCAGUGAAAGCAACUUCUGUGAAAUUUCUAAAGAAAGAAGUUAAUCAGGAAGACAACCAGAAUGCUCCACGAGACAAUCAGAACUCUUCCCGAGAUAUGGGGCAAAGAAGACUUACCUUGAAAGAAAUGCAACAAAGCAAUACCCUUUCUUAGACUCUGAUGUUUCAGGCCUUUGAAUUCAAAGACAAGCUACGAGUUUCCUGAAAAACAUCAAAAAGAUCAAAAAUAUGCUAGGCUAAAAAUGACAAACCAUAACUAAUCUCCAUCCCCCUUCCCCAAACUUAUUAAGGAGCGUAUGCUACGAAAAUAAAUUGGAGGAAAAAUAGAUAAAAGUUAUNAAAUCAAACACUCCUAAAUACGAGUAUAAACUAUUUAAAAUUUCAAAAUCAAAUAAAGAACUCCUAAAUACGAGUAUAAACUAUUUAUAAAUCCAAAGAAAUUCAAGAACUCCUAAAUAUGAGUGUAAACUAUUUAUAAAUUCAAAUUCAAGUCAAGAACUCCUAAAUACGAGUAUAAACUAUUUAAAAUUCCAAAGUCAAAUGAAGAACUCCUAAAUACGAGUAUAAACUAUUUACAAAGUUCAAGAAAAAAAAAAAUUCAAGAACUCCUAAAUACGAGUAUAAACUAUUUAUAAAUUCAAAGAAAAUGAAGAACUCCUAAAUAUGAGUAUAAACUAUUUACAAAAUUCAAAUCAAGAACUCCUCGAUAAGAGUUUAAACUAUCAAAAUAAAUUUCGAGACUCGUCUAUUACCAAAGACAUUUCGUCCAUAAACAAGUCUCGAUGGGGCAAUUUGUAGACAAUUAAAUUGUCGUCGAAUUAAAUCGUGCCACGUGUAAAUUCAUGAAUUAAAUAUUCAAUUAUAUUUUCUAUUUUAUUAAAUGGGAUUUUAUUCCUAAUUAAAUAGAUAUAUAAUUAAUAUUUAAUAUAAAUGAAUUAAUGGGCUCAUGGACACUUAAGGCCCUAAGGCCCAUACAUGAAGGCCCAAAGCCCAUAAAGCCCAUGAAGCCCAUCUCUAAAAUCUAUAAAUAGAGGUGUUGGGGUGCUCAUUAUAACAACGUGAAGGAACGGAAGAUUGAAGAGCAUAAGAAUUCUCUCUAGUAUCACAAGUAGAAGAGGCGGAGAAUUGGAGAGUUCAAGUAUUCUUCCAAGUAUUCAAGUAUCUUGAAGAAUUCUAUCUAACGUUCAAGUCUCCUUCAAAUCUUCAAUCGUUUGAGUAUUCAAAUCUUCAAGUAUCCUUCGAAUCUUCAAGUAUUUGAGCAUUCAAAUAUUCAAGUAUCCUUCAAAAUCUUCAAGUAUUCAAGUAUCUUCAAGUGAUCAAACCUUCAAAUCUUCAAGUGAUCAAGGCGUUCUUACAAAUUCCAAGAACGAUCUUCCUCAAAUCAAAUCAACCAAGUCCCAAAGCUUCAAGGCGUUCUUAUAAAUUCUAAGAACGUUCUUCAAAUCAAAUCAAUCAAGUUCGAAAGCUUCAAGGCGUUCUUACAAAUUCUAAGGACGUUCUUCAAAUCAAAUCAAUCAAGUUCGAAAGCUUCAAGGCGUUCUUACAAAUUCUAAGGACGUUCUUCAAAUCAAAUCAAACCAAGUCCCAAAGCUUCAAGGCGUUCUUACAAAAUUCUAAGGACGUUGUAAUCAAAUCAAAUCAAGUUCAACGUUCAAUCCAAAAUCAUGACUUGAGUCCCUUGGAUUGGCGUCAUCAAAUCAAGUAUUUCAAGAACCUUCGAACUUGUUCAAGAAUCAAAUGGAAGAGAAGAAUCAGAGGAUUAACUAGAGAUUGCAACCCGCAUAAAUCUAUCUUCAAAUCUAUCAAAUUAUCUUUGUAACACUUUUGUAUUUUAUCAAAUUGAAAUACAAAAAAUUUGUGUUUACACUGUUAGUCCGAGGCUCCGAGCCAUUAUUUCGUAGAAAUCAUGUAAAUUUGGUAACAAAAAAUUGGAUGGAAAGAUGAUAGAUAGGGGUGGUGCCAAUUGCCAAAGUAGAAGAGUUGGCAGAAAAUUAAAGAUGCAUCUCUAUCCCUCGCAUGUAAGGUUGAGUAGGUAAUAGUAAUGAAUGAAUUGCCAUAAAAUUUCUAACGACUUUUAUCUAUUUAUUUAUUUAUUUAUUUAUUUUAAAUGAAAGUUUUAAGCAGUGAAAGAGGAAAACAAACAUCAUUGAGAGUCUAAAAAUUGGCCCCCUACCUCCCAACCCAAUCAUGUGUUAUUUUCUUUGCACCCAAAAACUGGAGGCAAUUAAUGUGGCUGUUUGCACUCUGCCUAGUAAUAAACACACGUACGCUAUCCGUCGCUCCAAAUUCGAAACAUCCUUGCAUCAUCUCUCUUUAAAUCAAUUCCUUAAUAAAAUAUUCUUCUAUGCUUGCUAAGUAAAUUAAUAAAUGAAAAAAAAGGGAACAUUUCAACUCAAGAAUCUCGUUCACGAUGCAAUUAUUUUAAUUUACAAUUAGGGAAUCAUCACUUGAAACUUUACCAUCAUAGUUAAAUCCACAUCACAAUCGUGCUUAAGUUACAAGAGAAAACGUUAACUGGGUUUCUCUGCCUAAUUACCAUUAGUAGUGACUCGCUUAAUUUGGCUUGGUACUAAAUUAAGAAGUGGUCAUUAAUUUUAUAACGACAAAAUAUUGUAAUUAAACAGUAAUAUUAUAGUCAGUUUGCAAUUAGAGACUGAAAUAAAGAAAAUACAUCAAUAAUAAAACACAUCAAAUAAUAAAACUAUUAUCCAAGUUAACUCCAAGAUGUGAAAUUUCUAUUAGCUAGAUAAAUAAUGAAUAGAAAUCAAAUAAACAACAUAGACAACUAAUUGUUACCUGCUCAUUUUUCUUUUUUGAGUUGGAUAGCUUCUUAAGUAAAGCUUUAAUUUAUGAUUUUAAUUGUAGGGAAAAUUUCGUGGUAACUACUCUGCUUUCUUACAAUAUAAAUAUAAUGAAAUCGGUUAAAGAAAACGUUUUCAGUUUUCCCCUUUCAACAAGAAACUAAUUGGAACAGCUCUAUCGAAUUCUUUUUUUUGCGUGUACUGUACCAUAUAAUAUUAGUUUUUUUUUUCUAUUAUUUAUUAUAUUUUUGAUAAAAUUUUAAUUUAUUUUGAUAAUCUCUAAUAGAUUCUAAUGUAUGCAACUACUAUAUACUACCAUUCUAGUAUCUAGAGGAAAAUCUAUCCAAUCCAACUUGUAUAGAAAUUAGCCAAAAAUAGUCCAAUCGUGUAUGCAAUUAGGAAAUAGUACUAAAUUUAAGAACAAUCUACUUCAUAAUGCCGAAAUACAGGGCCGAAUAUUGAGUAGGCCGAAUCUGGGAAUUACAGCCCAAGAGACUAUAAAAAUCACAUCUUAUGCAAAUGAGGCCUACAUAUAUAGAAAAAAAAAGUCAAAGUGAUGAGCCCAAGAAAACGACAUUUCAUAUAUGAAGCAACACAACUUAUCCUCAUUAAGCUGUUUAAUUUAUUACAUUACAUUAAUUGGUGGUCUCGUUUCGAAACGAGAACUUGUAUAAUUCUAUGAGACAUGUACAUAUACUACGCCAACUCAUUAAUUUUGAACCCCCAGUUCUUUUGUUUUGU
rnacentral:lncRNA from 1 species